rnacentral:rRNA from 1 species
CGGGGGACGAACAGUCCGAAAGGAUUGCUAAUACCGCAUAAGUCAGCGAGGUCUUCGGACCUUGUUGGGAAAGGAUGGCCUCUUCAUGAAAGCUAUCUCCGAAGGAUGAGUCCGCGUCCCAUCAGCUUGUUGGCGGUGUAAGAGACCACCAAGGCUAAGACGGGUAGCUGGUCUGAGAGGAUGAUCAGCCACACUGGAACUGAGACACGGUCCAG